rnacentral:rRNA from 1 species
UACGGAGGGGGCUAGCGUUGUUCGGAAUUACUGGGCGUAAAGCGCACGUAGGCGGCUUUGUAAGUUAGAGGUGAAAGCCCGGAGCUCAACUCCGGAAUUGCCUUUAAGACUGCAUCGCUAGAAUUGUGGAGAGGUAAGUGGAAUUCCGAGUGUAGAGGUGAAAUUCGUAGAUAUUCGGAAGAACACCAGUGGCGAAGGCGGUUUGCCAGAACGCGCUCGACGGUGAGGGAUGAAAGCUGGGGGAGCAAACCGG